GACGAACGCUGGCGGCGUGCUUAACACAUGCAAGUCGAACGGAAAGGCCCUGCUUUUGUGGGGUGCUCGAGUGGCGAACGGGUGAGUAACACGUGAGUAACCUGCCCUUGACUUUGGGAUAACUUCAGGAAACUGGGGCUAAUACCGGAUAGGAGCUCCUGCUGCAUGGUGGGGGUUGGAAAGUUUCGGCGGUUGGGGAUGGACUCGCAGCUUAUCAGCUUGUUGGUGGGGUAGUGUCUUACCAAGGUUUUGACGGGUAGCCGGCCUGAGAGGUGUACCGGCCACAAUGGGACUGAGGUAGGGACCAGACUCCUACGGGAGGCAGCAGUGGGGAAUAUUGCACAGUGAGCGGACGCCUGAUGCAGCAACGCCGCGUGCGGGAUGACGGCCUUCGGGUUGUAAACCGCUUUCGCCUGUGACGAAGCGUGAGUGACGGUAAUGGGUAAAGAAGCACCGGCUAACUACGUG
rnacentral:rRNA from 1 species